rnacentral:rRNA from 1 species
UACGGAGGGUGCAAACGUUGCUCGGAAUCAUUGGGCGUAAAGCGCACGUAGGCGGUUUGCUAUGUCGGAUGUGAAAGCCCUCGGCUUAACCGAGGAAGUGCAUCCGAAACUGGCAAGCUUGAGUACAGAAGAGGGUCUCGGAAUUCCCGGUGUAGAGGUGAAAUUCGUAGAUAUCGGGAGGAACACCAGUGGCGAAGGCGGAGACCUGGGCUGAUACUGACGCUGAGGUGCGAAAGCGUGGGGAGCAAACAGG